rnacentral:rRNA from 1 species
AACGAACGCUGGCGGCAUGCCUAACACAUGCAAGUCGAACGAGACCUUCGGGUCUAGUGGCGCACGGGUGCGUAACGCGUGGGAAUCUGCCCUUGGGUUCGGCAUAACAGUUGGAAACGACUGCUAAUACCGGAUGAUAACGUAAGUCCAAAGAUUUAUCGCACAGGGAUGAGCCCGCGUAGGAUUAGCUAGUUGGUGGGGUAAAGGCCUACCAAGGCGUGGAUCCUUAGCUGGUCUGUGAGGAUGGUCAGCCACACUGGGACUGAGACACGGCCCAGACUCCUACGGGAUGCAGCAGAGGGUAAUAUAGGACAGUGGGCUGAGUGCUGAAGCAGCUAGGACGGGUGAGUGAUGUAAGCCUGGGGGUAGUAAAGUUCUUUUACCCGGGAUGAUAAUGACGGUACCGGGAGAAUAAGCCCCGGCUAACUCCGUG